GUUGGCUCAGAAGCAGCCACUCAUUCAAAGAGUGCGUAAUAGCUCACUGGUCGAGUGAUUUUGCGCCGAAAAUUUAACGGGGCUAAACUGUACACCGAAGCUUGGGAAUAUACAUUUGUAUGUUGGUAGGAGAGCGUUGUGUAAGGGGUGAAGUCGUAGCGAAAGCGGCGGUGGACUUUACACAAGUGAGAAUGCCGGAAUGAGUAGCGAGAAUUAUGUGAGAAUCAUAAUGGCCGAAAGACUAAGGUUUUAGAAGGAAGGUUCGUCCGCUUCUAGUUAGCCGGGAGCUAAGGCGAGGCCGAGAGGCGUAGUCGAUGCACAUACGGUUGAGAUUCCGUAGCUACCUUGCAUUUAAGCGAAGGGACACAUUUGAAGGGCAUGACCCGGGCGUUGGUUGACCCGGGCGCAAGGGACCGAAAAUAAGUAGGGAAGCAUGCUUGGAUGGUGGCGAGAAAAGCUUCGUGUAUAUAAGCAGGGUACCCGUACUGCAAACCGACACAGGUAGUCAGGAAGAGGAUUCUAAGGCCAUCGGGAGAAGCGUUGUUAAGGAACUCGGCAAAUUGACCCCGUAACUUCGGAAUAAGGGGUGCUCACGCGAGUGAGCCGCAGUGAAUAGGUCCAGGCAACUGUUUAUCAAAAACACAGCUCUCUGCUAAAUCGUAAGAUGACGUAUAGGGGGUGACACCUGCCCGGUGCUGGAAGGUUAAGAGGAGGGGUGCAAGCUCCGAAUUGAAGCCCCAGUAAACGGCGGCCGUAACUAUAACGGUCCUAAGGUAGCGAAAUUCCUUGUCGGGUAAGUUCCGACCCGCACGAAUGGUGUAACGAUCUGGGCACUGUCUCAACUACCCACCCGGCGAAAUUGUAGUACCGGUGAAGAUGCCGGUUACCCGCGGCAAGACGGAAAGACCCCAUGGAGCUUCACUGUAGCCUGAUAUUGGGUCUCGGUAUUUUAUGUACAGGAUAGGCGGGAGACUUGGAAACCAGCACGCCAGUGUUGGCGGAGUCACCCUUGGGAUACCGCUCUUAAAGUAUUGAGAUUCUAACCUGCAGCCAUGAAUCUGGCUGGGGGACAUUGUCAGGUGGGCAGUUUGACUGGGGCGGUCGCCUCCAAAAGAGUAACGGAGGCGUUCAAAGGUUCACUCAGCAUGGACGGAAACCAUGCCUUAGAGUGCAAACGCAUAAGUGAGCCUAACUGCGAGACUGACGGGUCGAGCAGUAACGAAAGUUGGAGUUAGUGAU
rnacentral:rRNA from 1 species